rnacentral:tRNA from 1 species
GUUAUAGUAUAGUGGUGAGUAUUCCCGCCUAUCACACGGGUGACCCGGGUUCGAUCCCCGAAAACG